rnacentral:rRNA from 1 species
AUGAUGGCCGCGCCGGCCGCCUCCCCGGCGGCGCGAUCGCGCGGCAAUGCCGCCGGCGGCGGCGGCAGCGCCACGUCGACGAUGCUCCCGGGCCCGGCCAGCCGCGGCAACGGCGGCUGCAUCGACCUCAGCACCUCGGGCCUCCUCGCGCACGGCGCCGGCAGCAGCGUCGUCGUCUCCGACCCGCGCUCCAUGCAGCUCGUCUGCGUCCUCCCCAUGCCCUCCUCCUCCGCCACCUCGCCCGCCUCCUUCGUCACCGCCGUGCGCUGGGCGCCCGCGGCCAGCGCCUCCUCCCUCGCCGCCGCCGAGGACGCCGCCGGCGCCGAGGACGACCACCGCCCGCUCCGCCUCGCCGCCGGCGACCGCCACGGCCGCAUCGCCGUCUGGGACGCCCGCGCGCGCGCCGUGCUGCGCCUGCUCAGCCUCGACGAGUCCCGCAGCGUCGCGCCCGGCACCAGCGGGGGCGUCCAGGACCUCUGCUGGAUCCACCACGCCUCCGGCUGGCUCCUCGCCUCCAUCCACGGGCCCUCGCUGCUCUGCAUCUGGGAGACCAGCAACAACCCCCGCGUGCUCUGGAUGUUCGACGCCUCGCCCGAGUACCUCUCCUGCCUCCGCCGGGACCCCUUCGACGACCGCCACCUCUGCGCCCUAGGUCUCAAGGGCUUCCUCCUCUCCGCUGUACCACGGCAUGACUCCGACAUCUCGUUGAAGGAGCAUAGGAUCGUUUGCGGCGCCGGGGACGUGGCAGAGCUGCAGAGGCUGGAGAAGGAGAUAUCAGCGCCGGCGCCAGCCCCGGCGCUCGCGGCUUUCCCGCUCUUUGCGGCAAGGCUGUGCUUCUCCCCACUGUGGAGACACAUCCUAUAUGCCGUGUACCCUCGGGAGCUUGUCGUCUUUGAACUUAACUACAGCAUUGCGCUCUCUGUUGCUUCAUUGCCAAGGGGGUUCGGCAAGUUCACGGAUGUUAUGGCCGAUACUGAUCUUGACCUGCUCUAUUGCACGCAUGCUGAUGGCAAGCUGAGCAUCUGGAAGCGCAAGGAGGGUGAACAAGUACAUUUGUUGCAUGCAGUGGAAGAGCUCAUGCCUUCAAUUGGUACCGUUGUUCCUCCCCCAGCCGUUCUUGCUACUACGAUCUGGCAGUCAGAGUCCAUUUUUCGUAUCAUCGACAGACAAUCUCAGGAUUUGGCACUUAUGCAAUCUUCACAGUCUAUCAUCUUUGAUACAAAGUCGAACCAGAACAUGUAUCGAGGGACCAUGACAUAUCUAACAUCGAUAUCUGAAGAUGGCAAGAUCUGGUCAUGGCAUUUGACUUUUGACAAGUCAGUAUCUUCCAAGAAAAUUAAUCUAGGUACAUCGAACCAUAGUGAUGCUGGAACUUCCAACCCACGCUCCAAUGGGCUUGAUUUUACAAUAAAGAUUACUUUGAUGGGCCAGCUUCAUCUUUUGUCGUCUACUGUGACUACUCUAGCUGUGCCAUCUCCUUCUUUACUUGCCACAGUAGCCCGUGGUGGAAACAAUCCUGCUCCAGCAGUACCACUUGUUGCUCUAGGAACUCAAAAUGGGACCAUUGAAGUUGUUGACGUAUUGGCUAAUGCAGUUUCUGUCAGCUUUGCUGUUCAUAGCAGCACAGUCAGAGGCUUAAGAUGGCUUGGAAACUCACGCCUUGUUUCCUUCUCAUAUAAUCAGGUUAGUGAUAAGAGUGGAGGAUUCAAUAAUAAGCUUAUUAUCACAUGCCUGAGAAGUGGGCUAAAUCGCCCAUUCCGUGUGCUCCAAAAGCCUGAACGUGCAGCAAUAAGAGCAUUGAGGGCAUCUUCGUCUGGAAGGUACCUUCUGAUUAUGUUUCGUGAUGCUCCUGUUGAAGUGUGGGCCAUGACAAAGAACCCGAUGAUGCUUAGAUCCUUGGCUCUUCCUUUUACGGUGUUAGAAUGGACACUGCCAGCGGCACCACGACCAAGUCAGAAUGCAUCUAAGCAAUCGUCUCCCUCCAAAGAGGGUACUGCUGCAGAAAGUUCUGAUGAAACAUCCGAAAGUUUUGCUUUUGCGUUAGUCAAUGGUGCUCUUGGUGUGUUUGAAGUGCACGGACGGCGAAUACGAGAUUUUAGGCCAAAGUGGCCGUCAUCAUCAUUUGCCUCUUCAGAUGGCCUGGUUACUGCUAUGGCUUAUCGUCUUCCCCAUGUUGUGAUGGGGGAUAGAUCCGGCAACAUUCGAUGGUGGGACGUUAUAACAGGCCUUUCUUCUUCUUUUAGCACCCACAGGGAAGGCAUUAGGAGGAUUAAGUUUUCUCCUGUUGUUCACGGUGAUCGGAGUAGAGGACGCAUUGCUGUGCUCUUCUAUGAUAAUACAUUCUCUAUAUUUGACCUGGAUAGUGCAGAUCCCUUGGCAAAUGCCCUUCUCCAUCCACAAUCUCCUGGCACACUCGUCUUGGAGCUUGAUUGGUUAUCAACCCGAACAAGGAAGGAUGAACCACUUGUAUUAUGCAUCGCUGGAGCUGAUAGUAGCUUUCGUCUGGUUGAAGUUAACACUGAUACCAAGAUCAAUUCUGCUUCUAGGCUGCUGACUACAAAAGAGAGAUUUAGGCCAAUGCCAUUAUGCCUACCAAUACUAUUCCCCACAGCACAUGCUUUGGCUCUGCGUAUGAUUCUGCAGCUCGGUGUGAAGCCUUCUUGGUUUGAAUGCAAUAAUAGUGAUAAAUUAGCCUCUAACAGCUUUAAGGAAGGACCGUCAACCUUUGGGGAUCUUCGUUCAUACAUGAUUGAGACAACACUUCCUCCUAUUGGUGAUUCUGUAGUGGCUGAAUUGCUGCUUAAAGUGUUGGAGCCAUACAGAAAGGAUGGUUGCAUCCUUGAUGAUGGAAGAGCCAGCUUAUAUUCAGCUAUAGUAAAUAAAGGAACUUGUGCAAGGUUUGCAUUUGCUGCUGCUAUUUUUGGUGAUUUCCAAGAAGCACUUUUCUGGUUACAGCUUCCGCAAGCCCUUCAGCAUUCCCUGGAUAAAUCGACAAGUAGAUCAAGUGAGGGCUUCGAAUCAAGUGUACGCGCUGAUUCUGAACAAACUUCCACAUUAAACAGGAUAGCUUCAAGCGAGAGGUCUGCAGCCAGAAAUGCGGCCAAUGAUACUGCGAGUUAUGGGCAAUUAAGUACAAUGGCAUUUAAGCAAGAGCAAUUGUGGUUCAAUGCGAAUGAAAGGAUACCUUGGCAUGACAAGCUUGAUAGUGAAGAUGCUUUGCAAAAGCGUAUUCAUGAGCUUGUCUCUCUUGGAAAUUUGGAAGCUGCGGUGUCCUUGCUACUUUCAACUCCUCCUGAAGGAACAAAUUUUUAUCCUAAUGCAUUAAGAGCAGUUGUAUUGUCAUCUGCAGUGUCAAGAUCUUUACAUGAACUUGCAGUGAAGGUCGUUGCAGCCAAUAUGGUUAGAACAGACAAAUCAUUAUCUGGAACACAUCUUCUGUGUGCAGUGGGGAAAUAUCAGGAAGCAUGCUCUCAGCUUCAAGAUGCUGGUUGCUGGAUUGAUGCUGCUACUUUGGCUGCAACUCAUUUGCGUGGAUCUGACUACGCAAGGGUACUGCAGAGGUGGGCUGGUUUUGUUCUUCGUGGUGAACAAAAUAUGUGGAGAGCUCUAAUACUAUAUGUUGCUGCUGGAGCACUCCCGGAGGCUUUAGAGACGCUCCGCAGCAACCAGCGACAAGACACUGCCGCUCUGUUCUUGCUUGCCUGCCAUGAGAUCUAUUCACAAAUUACCACAGAGUCUAAGCCUGCGGAUGAGAUGCCUGGAUCAGCAACGGAGCGGAGUCAAAAGCUCCUGUUCCCAUCCAAGAAUGUGAGUGAUGAGAACCUGACCGCGGUCAGCGAGGUCUUCGGGCAGUACCAGCAGAAACUGAUUCAUCUUUGCAUGGAUAUGGAACCAAUUGUGAACUGA